UGGGGAAUAUUGCACAAUGGGCGCAAGCCUGAUGCAGCCAUGCCGCGUGUAUGAAGAAGGCCUUCGGGUUGUAAAGUACUUUCAGCGGGGAGGAAGGCGAUAAGGUUAAUAACCUUGUCGAUUGACGUUACCCGCAGAAGAAGCACCGGCUAACUCCGUGCCAGCAGCCGCGGUAAUACGGAGGGUGCAAGCGUUAAUCGGAAUUACUGGGCGUAAAGCGCACGCAGGCGGACUGUCAAGUCGGAUGUGAAAUCCCCGGGCUCAACCUGGGAACUGCAUUCGAAACUGGCAGGCUAGAGUCUUGUAGAGGGGGGUAGAAUUCCAGGUGUAGCGGUGAAAUGCGUAGAGAUCUGGAGGAAUACCGGUGGCGAAGGCGGCCCCCUGGACAAAGACUGACGCUCAGGUGCGAAAGCGUGGGGAGCAAACA
rnacentral:rRNA from 1 species